AUAAAAUUUUACAAAAUGGGGAUUUUUUUUUGAAUUAAGGUUUAAAUUCUAUAAGUUCCUGUUUGUUGUGUUGGGGCGGCAAAGAUAAAAAUUAGUAACUGUCAUUUAAUUAGAAUAAKUAUAAUUAGUUUAGUUGAUCCUUUAUUAGAGAUUAAAAGAUUA
rnacentral:rRNA from 1 species